CAUUUUUAGUACCAGACUUGCAGAAAAAGCAUAUUCCAGAGGAAGAAGAGCCCAUCAUAGCAUGUGCAGUUUUCCUCUGAUAGUCCACGGUAUUGUUGCCACAGUGAUAAUGACUGCCCCAUGUCAUGAUCUAUCCACCAACAGUAAGAGAAACUUUGCAGUUGAGAUAUUGUUUAACAGAUGGAGUGGUUUCUGUUGGACACUAAGUACCGCUUCACAU